rnacentral:lncRNA from 1 species
CCCGCCGCGCGCCCGGAUGUGAGGUGGCUGCAGCGGUGCCGGGCGAAAAAGAAGCAUCGCCGCGCGCUUCCCGGACGCCAGCCCCUGCGCGGGCCGGGGGGUGGGAAGGUGGUGGCGGCGAGGAGGAGGCCACGGUGGGGAUAGCGGAAACCCGCUCCCGUGCGCGCAGGCGGUCGCCGUGGGCAGCCCAGAGGCCACCGCCGCCGCGUUCCCACGCGCGCUGCAGGGCAGAGCGGACGGCACUUGGGACCCGCGACUCGCGGCACGCCACUCUCCCGGAGGCGGUGGCUAGAUGGGGCUGGGCUGGCGGCUAGCACGGCCUGUGGCGCGACGACCGCUGUAUUUGCAUGGUUCGCAUAGGCAGAGAACCGUGGGGCUUCGGCAGUGGGAAUUUGAGAUAGGAGAUUGGGGUCUUCCGAGCCUUCCCAGUGCGGGUUCGAACCUCAGCUGUUUUGCGAGUGGCGUGAUCUUAGGCAAAGCUGACUUAACCUAAGUUUCGGUCGUGUUUCUAAAAUGGCCUCUGUAAAUCUAUGAGGCUUAUGCGCGAGUACUGGUUGCUGCAUUAAAAGACAAACUUGUCACGAUUGGCUUUGAUAGCGAUAAAGGCGACUAACAAAUUCAUUGAAAUGUUGUUUCCCUCCGGUAACCUGAAUCUGUCCUUAGCCUGCACAGAAAGGGGAAGUGCGAGUGGAGUUGGGGAAAUGAGACGGCGAAUGUCAAGUGCUUACCACGUAGUGCAGACUCAGGCUGACAGGGGGCCACAGAAAUGCAAAUAUGUGAGCAGUGUGGGUAACUGCAUCCUGGGGAGGAAGUCCUAUGUGCUGGAAUACCACAAGCACCCAUUUCUGCCCUGUGGUACUGCGCAGCGUUGGUGUGAAGCGAUACAUAGGCGUGAAGUCCCGAGAACGCAAUUUUCCUGGUUAAAGGACAGCAACGUCUACAUUUCUUCCAAGAGGCCUACUUUGUUGGAACUUCACUUCACUUGUGAAAUUAGGGUGUUGGGCAGUGAGUGACCACUAACUCAGCUCCCUUCUUGUGAAUCUUGGCAACAGAAAACUUUUCGUUUGUAUUACUGAAUAAAGU